ACAGCAGUAGCCGCGGUAAUACGGAGGGUGCAAGCGUUAAUCGGAAUUACUGGGCGUAAAGCGCACGCAGGCGGUCUGACAAGUCAGAUGUGAAAUCCCCGGGCUUAACCUGGGAACUGCAUUUGAAACUGUCAGGCUGGAGUCUUGUAGAGGGGGGUGGAAUUCCAGGUGUAGCGGUGAAAUGCGUAGAGAUCUGGAGGAAUACCGGUGGCGAAGGCGGCCCCCUGGACAAAGACUGACGCUCAGGUGCGAAAGCGUGGGGAGCAAACAGGAUUAGAUACCCCUGUAGUCCCUGUCUUUUAUAC
rnacentral:rRNA from 1 species